UACCCACAAGAAACCCCAGUUCCCAUACAAUCACUGUAGUUAAGCAAUGUCAAGUCUGGUCAGUAUCAAGAAGAGUGACCACUUGGGAAUACCAGGUGUUGAAA